rnacentral:rRNA from 1 species
AGCGAACGCUGGCGGCAGGCCUAACACAUGCAAGUCGAACGAGGCCUUCGGGCCUAGUGGCGGACGGGUGAGUAACACGUGGGAACGUGCCCUUUGGUACGGAAUAACUCAGGGAAACUUGAGCCAAUACCGUAUGUGCCCUUCGGGGGAAAGAUUUAUCGCCAUUGGAGCGGCCCGCGUCUGAUUAGCUAGUUGGUGAGGUAAAGGCUCACCAAGGCGACGAUCAGUAGCUGGUCUGAGAGGAUGAUCAGCCACAUUGGGACUGAGACACGGCCCAAACUCCUACGGGAGGCAGCAGUGGGGAAUCUUGCGCAAUGGGCGAAAGCCUGACGCAGCCAUGCCGCGUGAAUGAUGAAGGUCUUAGGAUUGUAAAAUUCUUUCACCGGGGACGAUAAUGACGGUACCCGGAGAAGAAGCCCCGGCUAACUUCGUGCCAGCCGCCGCCGUAAUAC